GUGGAAAUACUUGUUGCUUCUUGUGGAACCACCUCAAGUUACUUGCACACUGUAGACUGAGGUCUUCUACUAAUUUUCUUGCCUUUCUGAUGAUUGUUCCUUCUGAGGGUUGCCCAUCCACAUGCCUUCAGCUGUCUCUCUGUCCUUUGUCCACCAGGCUCAAGUCUCUCCUAAUCUGCUGCAUUCUGCUUCUAAAUUUAAAAUGUUUGCCAGUCUUUUAGCCCAAAGCCAUGAAAGAAAGAUUAGCCACCGGGAAAGCAGAAACCAAACUGCUCACCUGACCCCAGUUCAGUGGAACUGCAACAUACAUAAAUUAAGGGGAUGGUAAAGAUGAGAAGAAAAAAUGAGUGAAGACACAAAUCCACAAGUGUUUGUAUACACAGUAAGCUGAACCCACAGUUUGUGUGUCUGGGCUUGCUGAGGUCAUUUCUCAACAGUUCUUCCACCAACUCUACUUAUGCACUCAUGAGUAAUCUUCACCAUUUUGAGAGAAGUGCCUUCCACCAAGAGUACGGACUGUGAGCAGAAGUGCAAAAAUUGAAGCUUAAAGCUGGAACAAAUCAGACAAUAGCAGCUGCACGCAGAUGAGCGGCCACAGCCUUUGAAAACAUGAGAAACAAGGAGGCUGUGCAGGGACAAUGUCCAAUUGAAAGACCAUUUAUCAGAAAAAAAAAAAGAUCUCUGUGCUGCAGUUGUACAUCUGGUAAUUGACUAGCAGUGACUGAGAGUUUUCUGCAUUAGAUCCCAUGGACUUAGAGACAAAUCUGAGAAGAAAUUGCUUUAAUUCCUCCCAGAUUAAUGAGGAGGCUUGACUGUCAGCCCUGAAGUGUCUUCUGGGACAUACUCGAGGCUCAUCUCUUUGUUUUCGUUUUAUAGCAAGAUGACAAUGAUGAAAUCAAUAAGUCACUUAUAUCUGUGACCUACAGUUCCUGUGAAUUCAAGGAGGAUGAUGUCUUAGUACAGAACUGACAAUAAAUCUUACAUUGUCUUCAACACAUUGCAGACCAUUUCAUGGAGGUCAAGCAUUUUUUAAUUUUAUUUUAUUCAAAAGCACAAAUUGUGUCAAAUUAAAGAUUUGUGUCCAACAAAACAUUUUGUGAAUUCAUGUCACCAUUGAAAUAUUGUUUUGAGACUAA